GAGACAGGCCUUAGAGCCAGCUCCCCGGGGCGCUCACGGCCUGGGGACUCGCCACUCUCCCGCCAGCCACACAGGAGGCGCACCCACACCUUCCAGGGCCUUCCGUGAGCCCACGGGUGAAGCAGGGAGACUUCGUUCUGGGGGAGACAGGGCAGCUGCAGAGUCCAGUCUGCCCACCUUGUCUUCACCAGCAGACCACACGGAGACAGGAGUUUGCACGAGCCCAGGGACAAGAUGCUACAGACAGAGCGGCUUGAACACUCACUUAGACGGGGUGGAACGAUGGAGAAACAGCCAGGCUCAGACGGAGGGCACACCAGCACCGUGUUGCCAGCAGCCUGGCCUCGAAGGAGCGGCAGAAGUGAGUUCUCCGAAGAAAUAACAACAGAAAAAGACUUAGAACUCAGAAAGGAACAAGGGCCAUCAGACUGGUAAAGCCAGGGAGGCUCCUUUCUCUUGGUCGAUAGUCGGGGCGGGUGAGCCAGGGCCGGCCCAUCCCAGCAACCGGGCCCCUGGCUGCAGACAUCUGGUAGGGAAUAAACGUGGGACAGAAGGGUUCUGGAACCCUCCUAGGAGCUGCUGCUGAGGCUGAGGACAGAAAAGCCUGGAGUUGCUGGCGACCAUCCUUCAUCUCGAGGGGAGAAGAUGCCGAACGCCCAGCAGCCACCCCACCUGCGCGGCAGGUGGAAGCCAGGUCACAUGGUGCC